GACGGGGCCCGCACAAGCGGUGGAGCAUGUGGUUUAAUUCGACGCAACGCGAAGAACUUACCAGGGCUUGACAUCCCCUGACCGCGUAUGAAAGUACGUUUUCACCCUCGGGUGACAGGGAGACAGGUGGUGCAUGGUUGUCGUCAGCUCGUGUCGUGAGAUGUUGGGUUAAGUCCCGCAACGAGCGCAACCCCUACGUUUAGUUGCUAACGCGUGAAGGCGAGCACUCUAGACGAACUGCCGUUGACAAAACGGAGGAAGGUGGGGAUGACGUCAAAUCAUCAUGCCCCUUAUGUUCUGGGCUACACACGUGCUACAAUGGCCGGUACAGACGGACGCAAAGCCGCGAGGUGGAGCAAAUCCUAAAAAGCCGGUCUCAGUUCGGAUUGCAGGCUGCAAUUCGCCUGCAUGAAGUCGGAAUCGCUAGUAAUCGCAGGUCAGCAUACUGCGGUGAAUACGUUCCCGGGCCUU
rnacentral:rRNA from 1 species